AGCGGUGAAGGGCGGUCGAGUUAUGUCGGGCCAGUCGCAAAUGGUCAAUGGCGUCGGAGACAUCACGGACGACCUGGGAUUUGGAAGUGACACCAGAGGAAGAGGAUCGAGGAGACGACCGUCCAGGAGAAGCUGUCGAAGACUCGCCGAAGAGGAAGGAGCGAAUCAUCAUCAGAGAGAGAUGCCCACGAGUACCGCAGUCAAUGCAUAACAAAUCCAUGGACACCCUGGCAGGUCCUUAAGAAGCGGCGGGCUUGAAGUAAACAUUUCGUCGUCGGCCGGCAGCAAAAGGCUCCUGGACGCCAUUCCUCGGUUCGCGAGUCGACAAACAACGAGCCGCACAAGCGAGGACGAACAACCCAUAAAACGAUUUCGAGCUCCCACAGCCGGGGGGCCCGGUAGUCGAUUCGCGGGCCCUCUCGGCGUCGGUAACGAGGAUUUUGACUCGGCCAGCCUUCGGGGAACUCCGUCUCCGACCUCUCGAAGACGCUUCAAGGGAACGAGCGAAUUGAUUCUCGGGGAAGACCCUUAAGGUGAUAUGAAGAUCACCUAGAAGAGGGACGCGCUCCGUCGACCCUCGAGGAGGGCGUUUCCGAUGUCGCCGCACUUCCUAAGGAAGGCGAAACGAGGAGAAUUAGCGGUAUCGUGCCAUCCGGACGAAGGGUAACCACAAGGCGGCGAGGAAAUCGUUAAGAAGAAGGGGCCGAGGCGCGCUUACUCUAGCGUGGCUCCCUCCUUUCAGGAGUCCUGAACUUCCAGGUCGCCGAUCGGAACCAGGAACGGCGACGCCUCGGAAACGGGGAUUUCUCUCCGCCUCGGAGGAGAGUCCCUUAUCGAGGGCCUCCUGGCACCGCGCAGCGGGCUAGCCAUUUCCGUUUCCCGGGGGACAAUGAGUCUCUCCGCGGAAUGGACCGGGGUUUCUUAAGAGGCUGUGCAAUAAAUAACCCAGGUCCCGUGGCCGCUUCCUCGAGAGGACCGUGCCUGGGAGACAAAGACCCAGAGACCGACCUAGGCGAGGACGAGGAGGAGGGAAGGCGGGACGCGAUCGACGGAGGCGUCGGGACGCACAGGAGACCCCCGGCGUCGACCCGCGCUCGGAGAUGGCCCUCUGCCCCUGCAACGAGUACCGGGAAUAAGUACCUCGGCGUAAUGUCCUCUUGGAUAUUGGACGGAAAUGUCGGAGACUUCGAUGCAUGAGGAGGCAGCGUCUAAGAAGUGUCCUGGCGAUUUGGAAAUUUGGAUAUUGGGAAAACCGAGCCGGCGAAAUUGAGGUACCGAAACGGUGGCUAAGACAAGUCCCCAAUGAUUUAUUCGCACUUGUGCUCCGCGCGUCCUUGUCCUUCUUUCUUGGUUAUGGUCGCGAUGGCUUCGAUCUCUCGUCGCAAAGGGGAGCCUCCCAGGGGGUUGCGGCGCGAUAAACUUCACGCCGUACCCCCCUCGGCUCGUAAAGAAAGAGUUUGCGGCUCGACAUCGAAUGAAUUUCAGCGGUGCGCCACAUCCUGUCUACCGGCGACCGCGGCGGCCUCGUCGACGCGAUUCGCCGUAGGUGGCUCGAUCGACCUGGGGAGAAUAGAAACCGUCUUUAAGAGAUGAUACGAUAGAAUAUGCCAUUCAGUACGAUACCCAAUAUAAUUCCACGCAACUCCUGCGCAUGAUUUCGCUUCUCUUGAAUUUCGGCACGGAUAAACGCGCGUUUGAAAUUCAAACGAGGCGGCAUCCAAGAUGGCGCGCGAUUCCCCGUAGGUGGAUCGAUCGACCUAGGUAGAAUAAAAACCCUCUUUAAGAGAUGAUACGAUAGAAUAUGCUAUUUAGUACAAUACCCAAUAUAAUUCCACGCAACUCCUGCGCACGUUUCUCUUGAAUUUCGGUACUGAUAAAUGCCGGCGCGUUUAAAAUUCAAACGAGGCGGCAUCCAAGAUGGCGAGCGCGCUUCUCGCGCUCGCCACCAGAGGGCAGGGCGCGUUUUACGGCGUCGAAAACGAGAGGUUCCCGGACCCCGAAAGCACGUAAAACGAGAGGUCCUACCGUGUUCGGUCUUUACCAGCCUCGGCGAGCCUCCGCGCGCAUAAAGCUCGGAAAUAAUAAGCGAGUCGCGGCCGCCUCGGGUUUUUAAGACUCGCGGCGCUCUCUUUUUCGCCCGAGUUCCUUUUUUACUGGCGAAGGAGUCCGCUGGGCGACGGUUUACGACGCGCGGAAGUGGGCUCGCGCCCUAACGCUUCGCGAUAUAAAUCGAGGGUGAGUUGCACGAAGCCUAGAGACCUGACAAACUGCAUAAGGUCCUUACCAAACCUAGGGUCCGUAAAAAACGAUAGGAACGUCAGGAAGAGAUAAGGAAAUUCCAUGUAACCUUUCUUCUGACUGAAAAUCAUUGUUUCUUGCAGUCUUAUAUGACUCGGAGGACGAUAUCAAGAAACUGGUAGCGUUAAGUGACAUGUAUUUGCUUCGAUAUCGACUUAUUUUUUAUCGGAGUCCUCGAUGAGGUCUCGGAGAAAGUAAAAGCGGUCGGCGGGGCUUCCGAGGUCACUCUCGGAGGAGCCUGGAGGAGGCCGUCGGCGGGGCGAAGGGUCGUCGUCAUCGGCCCUCGCGGUCGGGGCGCAUAAUAAAGUGCGCCGGUUCAUUAAUACUCUCCCGGCAGCGCUCCUCCUCCGCUUCCCGAUUCAUUGAGCGCGUCUGGUAUGCGAGGCCGCGGAGGGUCACGUGGCGCGCCCUGCGUUACCGACCGAGCCGCGCGCGCUAGGCUUCGCGCGGUCGGCGCCAGGUGGCGCGCCGGACCGAGUGUUUAUUCAUUCUCAAGAAGAGGUGAUCGCAACGAGGACACGGUCCGGGUAAGAGAAAAAAACUUGCGCCAAACCCAUCCAAUUGGGAAAGUAUAUUUUCCAAUGUCAUGUCCAGAUGGUGGGGAGUAAUCGUACGAGAGCAAUGACAUCAGGUACGUCUGCCAUAUACGUUUACGUUGUGCGUUGGACAACUUCGUAACACCUUAAGCUGGGUAGUAAUAUAUCGGAAGGUUAUUUUUGGGUCUCGAAGUUUGGCUGCUCUCUGGGUUGCGAGGAACGUCUCGGACAUCCGGGAGACGCUUAUCGGCCGGUAAUCCGGCGAUACGUUUACUCCUUUGCAUCCUGCCGAUAUGGAACGUCCUCGCGGUGGGCCUGCGGAAUUGGUGGUCCGAUUUGCCCCUAAGUUGGCAUCGAAGCAUCAAUUCGCUCGAUCGGCUUCUACUUUUUUACGACUUUGCGGUAAAUAUAAGUUUUGCGAGGUAUACAAGCCUUAUUUAUAUGUAUGUUAGGUUACAUGUUACAAAGCAGCUGAAGCAGCUGCUUUUUAGUAGGCUGUUAAACGAGCACGAGAACUUAUGUACUUGUAACUUAGGUAUAAUAAACUGUAUAAUAAUUAAUGCAAUAAAGCAACUU